rnacentral:lncRNA from 1 species
GGUUUUGUCUUCAGCCCUCUUUUCUGCAGCACUGGUACAGUUCAGCUUCAUAAGGAGGCUUUUCAGCAGAGAAGCCUGCGGUGUUGAACCAGUGCCACGGGGGGAUGAAUUCUUCGAUACAUCUCUGGCCUCCUUUCUCGAAAUUAAAGCGUGGCGACUUGCAGAAAGGCAUAUGGGUGUAAACAGCACAUCCCUGCUCCGACAUUCUGCUCCUUUAUGCCUGAAACAGAAAAGGAGGCUAUAAAUAGAUCAUGAAAAGAAGAACAAGAGCUGGAUCUCAUGAAGGUACAAGGUGACUCCCAGGGCUCGCCAGGCACCGCAGCGUGACGCGAGGCGAGCCGUGUCGUGUUCUCGGGGUGGAUUCUCCCGAAAGCCUCACAAGCACUGUGGCGGCUUCCUCUUUCUAGUUUCCAUUUGAAGACAGGGCGGAGUCCCCCUAACUUCUGUGACUGCACCCUUGCCUGCUGGACCUCUGCCAAUAUUGGAUAUUGAUUGUAUGUGAGAUCACUGCCCUACAAGAGUUCACAAUGUUUGAGAAUUCUUGCCAGAGCUUCUCGUAAAAAAAUUUCACAGAGAAAUGAAA